rnacentral:lncRNA from 1 species
UUGGAGUUAGGUGUCUAGUUCUCCUUCUAUCAUCAUACCCCUUUGUUCCUUCUUGAUGGUACUAGAGAUUUUUCGAUUGUGGUCCUUAUUAUGCCUAACAUUCUUCUUCUUUUUUCUUCUGAAUAAGUGUCUUUUUUCACUUCUUAUUUUCUCACAAUUUUUGAAAAUUUGACUAAUUUUAUCUAGUACCCCAACCCCAAACUUUAAACUUUGCUCACUUCCAAGAGCAACC